rnacentral:misc_RNA from 1 species
GUUAGUAGCUUUGCCCCUGAUCCCUGGGUAUAUAAAGCACAGAACACAUUCAUUAGGGAUGUAUGCAAAGAAUCAAAAACAGUGUCAACACAACAACCACAUGCUGCAAACUUACUCCAUGUUAACAACUGAAAUGUAACAAUAGACAACAGACUCAGGUUUUUGAUGCAUCUAUUGCAUUUGUAGAAGACCACUACCAGUCAAAAUGGAAUUUAAGAAAAUUACAAAAUCCAAAAUGGUGAAAAUGAUUGAUCUCAAAGAAGCUGUUAAAAUUGCUUGUAACACUUGAAAA